rnacentral:misc_RNA from 1 species
CAUUUUGCCUCAACUCACAACGAUUCGCCACUUCAAUUCGAUACGACAAAUUUAACGAAAUUCGACCAAAAAUCGAGACGCGCGCGCUAAGUGCACCGUCGCCGCUGCAAUUUAAACGCGAAUAAAACGAAAUAACAAAGUCUAAUAAAUUAAAACAAACCAGAAAAAAAGACGAUUCGAAAUAUAUAUAUAUAUUUGAAACGUUAAAAACAACAACAAAAAUUGAAGAAGAAAAUAAAUUAACAAAACGGAAUUUUUCGCUGAAACUCACGCAACCACAGAAAGCAGUAAAUUAUAUUAACACACACACGCAUAUACAUAUUUACAUAUGUAUAUAAGCUAAAAGCUGCGAAAACGAGACGUGAAAAUUUUUAUUCGGCAUACAAAUUGAAUUGCCAAAAUUCAGUUAUCAAAAGAAUCUGUGAUUUGUGGUUAUAAGCGCGUUGCUUGGCCACCCGUAUCGGAGGAGCGUGUCGUUAGGGAAUUCACACCCCAACCAACUUCAGCUCAUUAUCCCGUUUCGGCUCCUUAUCAGCCACAACAGCAACAACAACAGCCAGCGCAACAGCACCAACCACAACACUUGCAGCAGCCGCAGCAUCAGCAGCAGCCAUCCCAUCAACAACAACAACCGAACGCUGCGCCAACUAGCCAGCCCCCACAACACAUUGGUCAGGAUCAACCCGAUCAACGGGCACUGCCAGUGCAACAACAACAACAAGCACCACAACCAUUGCCCCAAGAGUAUCGCGGCGGCAGUCCUGGUAUCAUAACAUUGCGCAAGGAGGCACCCGUCACACAGAAGCCUGCACCUGUUUACAACGCUCAGCCAGCGGCCGUUAGUUUUCAAGGAGGUAGCAACAUGCGCGGAGACUUGAAGUGGCCACCACCGGAGUACAAGGAGGCCGCAGUUCGCGAAAAUGAAGAACGCCGCAAACUGGCCCAGGGACCGGUAUGCCGUCCACGGAAAGUCAAUCGCGAUUACACAACGUUCUUCGCGAAGAAUGCGCUGAACAGCUAUUAUCCCAGCUACAAAGUACCACCAGGCACACAACACAUGUUGGCCUAAGUAUUUCAACAGCAAACUGAAUAACUAGACCCCGAAUACAAGUGAUAAUAAAAAAUUUUAAAAAUUAUUUUUAAAAAUAUAUAUAUAUAUAUUUCAGAAAAAAGUUAAAAAAAAAUACAAAUAUUUUUCAAAAACUUAGAAAAUUAACGAAAAAUGUUACUAAUAGUACAUUUUAACGAAAUGAAACAUCAACUAAUCACGAACUAACAAAAAAAAACAAAAAAAAACUCAGACCCACAAUGGGUGAAAUAUUAUUUAUUAAAAAUUUAUGUUUAUUAAAUACAUUAAUAGAAAGCAUUGAAAAAGUAAAACAAAAAAAAAACAGCGUCAAAUUUUAAACUAACGAAUUUUGUUCUCAAAUCUGUACAUGUUUAAAUAAAAAUAGCAGGAGAAUGUAGGCAGCGGAGAACCGCUUAGAAAUAAACGAAAUGCUUUGGUGUGAACGAUGAACAAUUCGACGAGUUUGCCUGCUGUUGUGCGGCUGUGAUCAACGAAGUCGCGGUGCGUUAAAAACUGCAAAAUGAUACACGGUACUACAACACCUACAACAACUACGCGCGCCACGGUGGCUUUGAACAUAACUGCGCAACGGGAGUGAACCAACCAAAUGCCAAGGCAUAUAAGAUUUUUUUUUCGUUAUUAAAAUUUUUUCAAUAUAAUUUUUUUUUUUGUUUAACGAAUUUAGUGAAUUUGUUGAAUUGCUCAAACGUAUAUGUAUGUAUGUAUAAAGGCAAAAUGCGAAUUCACUAUUUUAAUUUUAAGCAAAUCAAAUCAAACGACGUCCAAUCGAUGUAAAUUAGUUUUGUAUACAUAAAUACUUGGAAACCUACCAAACAAGAAAAAAAAAUAACGGUGGUUGAAGAACGUACAAAUGCGUUCCAUGAAGAUUCAACGCAGAAAUGAGUUUUCAAAUUAAAUAAAUUGAAAAUGCCAAUAAGAACUGGGCAGAAAAGAAUAUCAAAACUUUAAGCUGAAAACCAAAAUUAAAAAAAAAAAAUAACUAAAAAAAAAUUUAAAAAAAAAACGACUUUUGUUGCGAACUAAGGCUAAUUGAUAACGGUUAUAACGAUUUUGACAAAACGAUACAAUUUUAAUUGAAUUAAACACACAAGCAACUUCUUUGUGAAGAGCUUCAUUUUAUAUGCUGAAGAAGUUGCAGUUAGUUUGUUGAAUAAUUUGUUUAAUAAAUUAAAUGCAUAAAAUGCAAAUAUGGUUUCAUUUUUAAUUUUUAUUUCAUUUAAUAGUUAUUUACUGCAUAAAGAAAAAACUCAAAAAAAAAAAAAUUAAUAAAAAUAAUUAUUAAUAUAUAGUUAAUACAUAUAUAUAUAUAUAUAUUAAAUAAUAGUUAUCUCCAUUUAUUGUUAAGAAAAAGAGCAUACAAAUUAAGGAUAAUCAAAGAGCAACAACCCACACCAACAACCACAUAUAAACACAUAUGUGGGUUGUUAAUUAUAGUCUUAAGCGUAAUUGCAAAACAAAAGCAAAAUUUUAUUUUAUAAGAAAACAUAAGGCGAGGAGCAAAACAGGCACACAACACUUCAACAGGUUGUGUGGUCUUGUGCAAACUUAGUUAUAUACAUAUAUAUACAAAUGAAAACACUUAAACAUAUAUACUUACAUAUGUACAUUUAUGUGUACACUUGUACAUUGGCAUCUAGCACAGAAAUAUAAAAAAAAAACCUAUAUACGGAAAGAAUUUAUAAAAUCACUGUAUUACCUCAGUGGAAGAGCCACCUUGUGCCAUUAGCAUGGCCUGCCGCGGCCGGUGGGCGUACGCUGCGUAGGCUAUAUACUUUUUUUAAACAUCGAGGAUACCACAGUAUGGGUCUGCGGGGCGCGCCAAUCGACCAAAGGUCAAUGGUCAUGCAAAAUUGCAACAAUGUGAUAAUUACACUGUUUGUCAUUUAUGAUCAUCUAUUUAGAUACACAUACGCAGAUAUUAUACAUAUAAUAUAUACAUACAUAUAUACUUGCAUAAAUAACAUCUCACUAUUAUGUAUGUAUUUAUUUUUUGUAUAUUAUUUGCACUCGAAUACGAACAACCGGCAAUCCGUAAAGGCCUUACGACUAGACUAUGACAAAUAUCUAAACAUAAAUUGAUUCAAAAAACAAAAAAAAAAAAAACAAAAAUUAUUGAAAAAUGUUGAAAUAAAAUUAAAAUAAAAAUUAUAAUCAAAAUCACAUAGCGAAUGAUUUGAAUUCACCCCCAAAUCGUUCAAUAUGAAAAAUAUGGAAAUAAGAAAAAAAAUUCAAGCGAAAUUUGAAAACCAUUUGUAAUACCUACAUACAUACUACAUGUACAUAAAUGAUUGAUAACGAAUUGGUAUUUGAUAAUUACUUUGUAAAAUUCGUAAUUAUGUAAAAACAAAAACAAAAA